rnacentral:rRNA from 1 species
GACGAACGCUGGCGGCGUGCUUAACACAUGCAAGUCGAACGGAAAGGCCCUGCUUUUGUGGGGUGCUCGAGUGGCGAACGGGUGUGUAACACGUGAGUAACCUGCCCUUGACGUUGGGAUAACUUCAGGAAACUGGGGCUAAUACCGGAUAGGAGCUCCUGCUGCAUGGGGGGGGUUGGAAAGUUUCGGCGGUUGGGGAUGGACUCGCGGCUUAUCAGCUUGUUGGUGGGGUAGUGGCUUACCAAGGCUUUGACGGGUAGCCGGCCUGAGAGGGUGACCGGCCACAUUGGGCCUGAGCUACGGCACAGACUCCUACGGGAGGCAGCAGAGGAGAAUAUUGCACAAUGGGCGGAAGCCUGAUGCAGCAACGCCGCGUGCGGGAUGACGGCCUUCGGGUUGUAAACCGCUUUCGCCUGUGACGAAGCGUGAGUGACGGUAAUGGGUAAAGAAGCACCGGCUAACUACGUG